AUUGAACGCUGGCGGCAGGCUUAACACAUGCAAGUCGAACGAGUGGCGGACGGGUGAGCAAUGCUUGGGAAUCUAGCUUAUGUAGGGGGAUAACUACGGGAAACUGUAGCUAAUACCGCGUACCAUAGGAUGAGCUCAAGUGGGAUUAGGUAGUUGGUGUGGUAAAGGCUCACCAAGCCGACGAUCCCUAGCUGGUCUGAGAGGAUGACCGGCCACACUGGGACUGAGACACGGCCCAGACUCCUACGGGAGGCAGCAGUGGGGAAUUUUGGGCAAUGGGCGAAAGCCUGAUCGAGCAAUGCCGCGUGUGUGAAGAAGGCUUUCGGGUUGUAAAAGUCUUUUGUCAGAGAAGCGGUACCUGAAGAGUAAGCACCGGCUAACUACGUGCCAGCCGCCGCGGUAAUUC
rnacentral:rRNA from 1 species